rnacentral:rRNA from 1 species
GACGAACGCUGGCGGCGUGCUUAACACAUGCAAGUCGUACGGUAAGGCCCUUUCGGGGGUACACGAGUGGCGAACGGGUGAGUAACACGUGAGUAACCUGCCCACAACUUUGGGAUAACGCUAGGAAACUGGUGCUAAUACUGGAUAUGUGCUCCUGCUGCAUGGUGGGGGUUGGAAAGCUCCGGCGGUUGUGGAUGGACUCGCGGCCUAUCAGCUUGUUGGUGGGGUAGUGGCCUACCAAGGCGGCGACGGGUAGCCGGCCUGAGAGGGUGACCGGCCACAUUGGGACUGGGAUACGGCCCAGACUCCUACGGGAGGCAGCAGUGGGGAAUAUUGCACAAUGGGCGCAAGCCUGAUGCAGCAACGCCGCGUGCGGGAUGACGGCCUUCGGGUUGUAAACCGCUUUCAGCAGGGACGAAGCUUUUUGUGACGGUACCUGCAGAAGAAGCACCGGCUAACUACGUG